CACGUAGGGUGCGAGCGUUGUCCGGAAUUAUUGGGCGUAAAGAGCUCGUAGGCGGUGUGUCGCGUCGGCCGUGAAAACCUGCAGCUUAACUGUGGGCUUGCGGUCGAUACGGGCAUCACUGGAGUUCGGCAGGGGAGACUGGAAUUCCUGGUGUAGCGGUGAAAUGCGUAGAUAUCGAGAGGAACACCUGCGGCGAAGGCGGGUUGCUGGGCUGACACUGACGCUGAUGCGCGAAAGCCAGGGGAGCGAACGGG
rnacentral:rRNA from 1 species